rnacentral:lncRNA from 1 species
GUUAUGCUCUCCCUAACCCCCAACCGUCAAGACUACUCUGCCUUUCCAUCCAAGACUCUUUCUGGAGGAAUGAGUGUUUUACCACAUGAUUGAACUUUCCCACGCCCUCCACAGAGGUUUCCUCACCCUUGAACUGAGAUCUAGAAUCCAGAUGUCUCGUCUCCAACAAGUUCAUCAACCGCAUGUUUUACAUCAAUAAAAAAAUGGCAAUAAAGCAAGAAUUUGCAGGGCUGUUUGCUGUAUAGUUUCUUUUAAGAUCAUAAAACUCUGUUAAGAAGAGAUGCAGGCUCUAGACCCAUAAUGUGAGUUUUGAUGACACAGGCACAGACAUCUCAUCAAAGACAGAGGAGCCUGAAGGACCAUCUGCCCAGUCAGCAAGGAAGUACCUGGCCUGGCUGGAACUCCUGAUACUCAAAGACAAAAAAAAAAAAAAAAAGGUUUACACAAAAAGAAGAAAUGAACAUAUUUUAAAAGUG